rnacentral:rRNA from 1 species
UACAGAGGAUGCAAGCGUUAUCCGGAAUGAUUGGGCGUAAAGCGUCUGUAGGUGGCUUUUUAAGUCCGCCGUCAAAUCCCAGGGCUCAACUCUGGACAGGCGGUGGAAACUACCAAGCUGGAGUACGGUAGGGGCAGAGGGAAUUUCCGGUGGAGCGGUGAAAUGCGUAGAUAUCGUUUGGAACGCCAAUGGUGAAAACAGGUUGCUGGGGAUAUGCUGACGCUGAGACACGAAAGCCAGGGGAGCAAACGGG